UGGGCUCCCCAUUCGACCCGUC
rnacentral:snRNA from 1 species